UCGGGCUGGCGCUGCCGCCCUGCGCGUCCGGCCGUGUAGCGCGCGCCCUGCGCGUGCGUGACCCGCGGCUGGCAUGCGCGGCGCGGGCGGUGUGUGGCGUGCGCCCUGUGCGUGCAUGCCCCGCGACGGGCUUGCCCGCGGACGCCCUGCGCGUGCGUGCCCCGCGGCGUGCAGUGCGGCGCGACCGCCGUGCCCCCGGCGUGGGCGGGCGGCAUGCGCCGUGUGGUUGGCGGCGUGGGCGUGCGGCGUGCCCGGCGCGCCGCAUGCCCGGCGUGCGGCCAAUCGUUCUUGGCUCCAUUUCUUAAAUCCGAGCAUUUGGGGAGCUUUUGGUUGGUUUGAUUCGUGCAAAGACAUGUGUUGAUGCUACUCCAUGAGUGAAUUUGAUUGAAUCAACACGAGCACGAAGAAUCGAACCAAUUUUGUUUUGGGGAGAAAAACUGCAUUCUUGCACAUGAUCUGAAAUUCCUGGAGUUUGAGUUCAAAUUGAGCCAUGACGCUUUCGGGAUAGCUUACCAACUCCAUAGAGAUCACCAGUGCAAAGUUUGGGAGCGAAUCCUUUUGAUUUGAUCAAGUUUGGGGCGUUUUUCUUUUUAUCCCGUCUCUCUUCUCUUCUAGCUUCCUCAUCUGUUCAUUGCUCGGCAGAGCAGAGCUGUGGCCGGCGCAAGCAGGACGACCAUCCAGCGAGGGAAUGCGGCAGCCAUCAUCCCAUCCCCGACAUUUACGAUUGCAUCGCGGUACAGUAUAUGGACUAUUACCUUCUACCUCAUGUAGUCCAGUUUGUAAAGAUGGGUUCGUUUCAGCUAUUUUGGCCGAUUGCAGCUGCUAAGCCAUUUGGCUGUAAACCUAAGCACCUACGGUUACAAAUCAAAGACCAAACGUGCAGCCGCAGCGCUGCAGCAGCAUUAGUGCCGAACAGAGACAUGUAUGGAAAAAUAACAUCUUUGAGUUAGAAGCAAGGAAAAAUGACAAGCGUUGAUUCUCUUGACAUGUUUAGUUAUUACCCAAAUGUUCUCGACUUUUCUCGAAACUAAGCAUUGGAACUCAAGCUCUGGCACAAUGAAAGCUAACUAAGCAUUGCAACUCAAGCUCGGCCCAGGGCAGUAGGCGGCCUGAAGGUCCUCAACAUCGAUGCUCGAGCUCCAGGUCUGUGCAUUUGCCUCCACCCUUGCAUUUGGUUCAGACACUACGUCAAGAUGGCCUUGCGGAAGGCCGUCGCACUCCUUCCUGAGCAUGCAGUCGUUGCAUAUACAACGAGCCGUGCAACGAGAGUGGAUAUCAUGCGCACCCGGGCGCAUCGAUGUGUUAAUAGAUGAACACAUUCGUGCAAUUGCCUGAGUUGGAGGCCAUGUUUCCUACGAGUCAGGUAUGUCUGUUACUUCAUGAGUAGCACUUACGAGUGUUGAUUGAUCUUUCAUUUCGAUGCUUCAUUUGACCUCCACAAGCUGUUUGCUACCAGUGAUCCUUGAGAGACUCUCUGACAGAGGGAGGCAGAGGAACAAGUAGAACGACAACGACUGAAGAAGCAGUGGUUGUGUAAGCACAAAUUGAUCAAUAGUAUUGCCACAUUGUGGUAGCACUAUUCACCUUUGAUCAACCUACUGAAAUCACAUUUUCUUUUAUAUUUUUUUCUUUCUAUAGAAUUACCCAUUUUAUGUCACAUUUCAAAUGAAGCUCAAUUACAAUUGCUGGGAUGGAACUGGGCACAGGAGAGCUACCCAGCAGAGAUUCUUGGCUUCUGCAAUUUUAUCUCACAUUCUUCUGAAGAGCAAUCUUUACGGGUAGCUGUUGUGCAAGAGUAUCUGAUGUUUUCAAACAUAUAUGACCUCACUGCUGUGCUGGAGAACAGAUAGCUUUGAACUAUUUGGUGAUCAUUCCCAGUUUUGCAUGGCACGUGGAAGUCUUUGGAUCUUUGAGAAAAUGGCUCUAUCUGUCCACAAGUGAUAUCGAUGGUUCUAUCUUCUAUUAGCAGGUUGGAUGAGGAAAGGUUUAUCCCGUUAUGAUUGUGUGCUCUACAAUUAAAUACUGAUGCUAACAUGAAUGGUGGGACAAUAAACUUUAGUAUGGCAUUAAGAACUUCCAUAAUGCAAUGGUGUUUGCUUGAAGUACAAUGAUGUAUUGUUUCCUUUUGCUUGAAGUAAAUUGAUGUAUUGUUUCCUUCUGAACUUCCAUAAUGCAAUGGUCUCUGCCAUUUGUAUCUAAAAGAAUUUAAAAUUACUUAAGGAAAUGGCUAAUCAAUUUGUCAAUGGUUCAGUGUAUUGGUUGCUUCUUGAAUAAUUGUCCAAUUAUAAACAUUUUAGUUGAGUUUCAGAAGUUCAGAAACAUAAAAUUGCAUUGGCCUUGUUGCUCAAAUGUACCAUUUUGUUUUAUUUAGUGUAUAUCAUUAUUACACAUAAAUAUUAUAUGUGUUGUUUUUUUUACCCGUAGCGUUAGCACAGGCCAACUUACUAGUAAAUCCUAAAUCCAUCCAUCCUCUAAAGCACCAAUUAAAAUUUAGCUACGGCCACACGCAGAACUGCCCCCAUUGAGGAGCUACGGACUCAUGCACUCGGAAAUUUGUACCCAGCGAUUCAUAUUUGUAAAGAUCUACGGCUCACCGCGGCCCCUACCAGCCAUCAAUGUGAUCUGACGGCGAGUACAUCCAGACUUCAACGCGUUCAAGCCUGCCCCGCAUUGAAGCCCCCCGCCGCCGCCAAGACCCCCCGCCCCGCCCGACUCAGGUCACGCAAACGCCAUUCCGCCAGGGUUCGAAUCCCACCCGGUGCGGUUAAACGAAAAUCAAUCAAGAGGAAAAAAAAGCAAACCUCCCUCCAAACCUCGGUCUACCCUAUCGCGUCGACCGCACGCCGCCCUCCACUGUGCUGAGUCCGCCACACACGUCGCCCCGCGGAGCCAACCACCCCCGCCGCGCCUCCAUCUGUCGCCGGAGCUCCACGGGCCAGAGGAAUGCGCAGCCCUGCUGGGACUGCUUCGCCGCCGCGGGGGCCCCAGCGCCCUCCACGUCGCCUCCGUAAGUGCCGGGCCCCGGAUUCCUCAUAUUUGCGCGAGGCGGCACGCGGGGCGGAGUAGGUGGCGCCAGGCGGAGCCACCGGCGGGCGGCGAGGCGGCGUUCCAGGCGGAGCCGCCGGCGGAGAGGUGGCGCGCCGGGCUGAUGGUCGCCACAAGGAGCUGGUUGCUUGUAGGUCAGCGGCCUCCAUGCGGAGCUUGACGGCCGCCCUUCCUUAUUGUUAUGGGCUGCCGCUGCCGUCCAACGAGGCAGCGCGGGGCUGCUGCCCAGCAAGGCGAGGCCGCGCCGGGUGUGGCACCGCUGCAUGGUGAGGCCGCGCGUGGCCGCCGCUGGGUGAGGUGAGGCCACAGCGGACGAGGCGCGAAGCCGGACAGGGUGCACGCCAGUGAUGAUACGGGAGGAGGUAGACGGACGCCAAGCCCCGAAAGAUGCGAGCCAAUGGCACCAAGGAGAUGUAAGGGAUUUUGGGUGCUGGCCUGCUGGGUUCCUUAUUUGCCGUACUCAUUUGGCCUCAAGCGAUUCAUUUUCCUCACUAUUUCAAGGUGCUUUGGCCCGGGCGCUGUGCGUGUGCCACGAGCGCCGUCCUGAUGCACCUCGGCUCGGUGCUUUGGCCGCCGUCACUCAUGCCGCGAGUGCUGCCUGCAUGGGGGCGCCGUGUGCGUCGGGGCCCUGCUGUGCUGCAGCUGCAGGCCCGGCUGCCGCCUGAGCCGUGCUAGCGCUGCCUCGCCACCACCGUCAUGCUGUUAAAUGAAAUGUUUAGCCCAUGUCUUCUUUAGUCAGGGAAUUCCUUUAUCCCUAUAAAUCAAUGAAGCUCAAUGCAACUCUGGUUCCAAUAUUUUUGGAAGGAGCUGUAAAUUUUGGAAACUCGGGUAAUUCCUUUAGCCACGACAUUCUCGAUCUAGGAGGGGAUGCUGUAAAUUUUUGGAAGGCAAGCUCAAUUUCGAAUACAUUUUAGUUUGGCUGAGGCAUCAAUUGAAUGGGUAAAGCAUCUACUCCCUCCGUCCCAAAAAACAAGAAAACAAGUCAUUCUGGGAUUCAAAAUUUGUUCCAAAAAACAAGUCAAUUUACCCUAUUAAGAAAGUGCAUGUGCAUGUAAGAAUCAAUUACUACCAAAUAUGGGUAACAAAUAGGGGUAAACAUGGUCAUUUUACCUUCUAGUAAAUCUGUCCUAAAAUUUUUAGAAUGACUUGUAUUUUGAGACGGAGGGAGUAUUUUAUAGGGAAGAUGGAUCAAUGAUAGUCUCACGUUUCCUUUUCUGAGAUUAGUCCCUCUGAAUCCGACCAUAUAUGCUUUAUUUAGAUACUGAUUGCAUGAUUUGAGGCAACAUUGUAGUGUGGUAAUUUCCUUUUACUGAUUGCAUGAUUUCAGGCUGGUUGUAGUGUGCUAAUUUCCUUUGGUGGUCCUGCAAUUCGAUUUGGAUUUGCGUUGGUAAUCAACUGGGGGAGUUGGACUAGCAUUUCCGUUUCUGAGAGAUCCAAAAGGAUGGUAUUGAUCCUGAGAAACAUAAAGUGACUCAAGCAGAUGAACAACUCAGUGAUAAAUGUGACAUGAAAAAGGCAAUGGAGAUGGUGGCGUUGUUGGAAGCUCAGCUUAAAGACUUGAGCCCAAGCCUGGAUUCCAUAUCUUUCAAACUGAAGGAGAUGUACCAGGGUUUGGCACUAACGGAGCGCAGGCACCACGAAUUUGUGACGAAUUUUCUGAAAACGUCAUAGAUGACCGCCUUAUAUCGUCACAAAACAUACCGCCGUCCACAUCACCCUCCUGUGAUGUUCUGUAUAUUCGUCAUGUCUGUAUAUUCGUCAUAUUUGUUUCUCGCUGCAUCCGUGGAUUGCCCAGGUGGCAAAGGCUAGCAAGGUUGCACCUGUGGACUGUACAGGUGGUAAAGCAAGGAAAACAAAAAUUCUGCAACAAGUGCUGAAUCCAACAAGUGCUGUCGGGCUAUCUGCCCCACGUUGGCGCUGGCGGACCAACCCGUUGGCGGCGGCAGCGGCGGCGGCGGGCCUCUUUGACCUCGGUCACUCCUCCCCACGGCGAAGGCAUCCAAGGCAGAUGCGGAGCACCCCAGUGCGGCGGCGACCGCUCCUGGAUCUGGCUCCCCAUGGUGUUGGCCCACUUGGCUGCUCCCCACGGCGAAGGGAUCGAUGGCAGAGGCUUCCUAGGCACAGUGCAGAGCUUCCCCUCUCUCUCCAUUGCUGCAUCCUUUCUUGACUACAUAUAAAAGAUGGAUAGAAGUUGGAUCCAUGGGAAAAAAUUCACACCAGCUUACACCAACGGUGUGAAUGAGUUCAUGGAAUUUGUUAAGGAAAGGUUUGUGGAACACAUCCCAAUAAGUUGCCCGUGUCGUCAAUGUCUUAACCAAAUUGAAAGGCCACAGUAAGAAGUCAAUGACCACAUCCUUAUUCAUGGAAUGUCAGCCACAUACACGCGGUGUACUCAUCAUGGGAAAUCCUUAGAUGAUGCUAUUGUUGAAUAUUCAGAGAAGGUGGAUGGAGUUGUCCAGGAUGAUGGGAUUGCAGUGGAUGAUGAGCCAGAUAGCAAUGAGCAAGACAACGAUGACAAUGAUGGGAUGCCAAAUUUUGAGUUGAUAGCAGAAUUGUACACAACAGCAGAGGAGGAUGGGCAGCUGCCAAAGUUUACUAGAGUGCUUGAUGAUUUGAAGUGCUCACUUUGGCCACGAUCCAAGCACACAAGAUUCUCAUUUCUCAUGAGGUUGCUCCGUAUCAAGUCCCGAUAUCAAAUCUGCAAUACGGGAUUUAAUACAUUAUUGAAGCUGCUUUCCUCGGCAUUCCCUCAGAGCAAAUUGCCUGAAUCAUAUGAUGAGGCAAAGAAAUAUCCCCGUGAAUUGGGCAUUGGAUAUGACAAGAUCCUUGUAUGCAAGAAUAAUUGUGUGCUGUUCCGGAAGCGCUAUGCCAAAAUGGAUGUGUGCCCAAAAUGCAAAGAAUCUAGAUGGGAGGACAAGGAUGGCAAGUGUGUUCCUCAUAAGGUUUUGAGGCAUUUUCCACUUAUACCAAGGUUGAAGAGGAUGUUUGGGUCUAGCAAAAUGGCUGACGACACCUAGUGGCAAAAGAAAAAUGGACACCAGUUGAUAAUGAACUGAGCCAUCCAUCGGAUGGGGAGGCAUGGAAACACUUUGACUUCAAGUAUCCAUCAUUUGCAAGGGAUGCAAGGAAUUUGAGACUUGCUGUGGCUAUAGAUGGUGUCAAUCUAUUUGGAAACUUUAGCACGACUUAUAGCAUGUGGACUGUCCUUGUGACACCCUUGAACCAGCCACCAUGGGAAUGUGUGAACCCAUCAAAUUGCUUCAUGUCCUUGCUGAUCCCAGGUCCCGGGAAAGGAUUUUGAUUUGUUCUUGGAGCCUCUAAUAGAAGAAUUGUUUGAAUUGUGGAGUGGUGUUAGUACAUAUGAUGCAGCCAGUGGUACAAAGUUCAAUCUUCAUGCAGCUGUGCUUUGGUGCAUACAUGACUUUCCAGCUCUAAGCACCAUGUCAGGGCAAACUACAAAAGGUUAUUAUGCAUGUACUCUUUGCAACAAAAAUCCAUUGUCACAGGCACUAAGGAAUAAGGUUGGUUACUUUGGCCACCGUCGUUACCUUCCAAUGGAUCAUCCUUGGCGGAGAAGCUUGGUUUUUGAUGGAAAACGUGAAAACCAAAGCGCACCACGUAAAUUGACUACAGAGGAGGUGAUAGAUGUCAGGCUAGGCAAGGAUGGAGGAAAGAAAAGAAAGCGUGGAGACAAAGAAGAGUCAAUAAUUUAUAACCCGAAAUUUGCAUGGUGGAAGCUGCCAUAUUGGAAAGACUUGCUGUUGCCUCACAACUGUUGAUGGCCAUUAUCUCACGUUUAGACCGUCAACUUCUCGGGAAUAAAUUGAGUUUUGCA